AUGCCUUCUUCUAGUAUUCAAUCCCACACAUUUCAGACUUUAGUGUGUGGAGGAUUAGCCGGAUCUACUGCUGCUUUAUUCACAACUCCAUUUGAUGUCAUCAAGACAAGAUUACAGACACAGAUUCCGGGAUCAAGAAAUCAAUAUGGUAGCGUGUUUCGUGCCCUUUACAAAAUUAGCAAUACAGAAGGUUUGAAUGGCUUAUACAGGGGGUUGACACCGAGGUUGAUUAUGUACAUGUCUCAAGGAUCAUUGUUCUUUACUUCGUAUGAAUUUUUCAAAAGUGUAUUUUCUCUGGAAUCACCACUUCCCACUGGUUUAUAA